rnacentral:rRNA from 1 species
UCUAGCUACUAAGGGCACAUGAAGGAUGCCUUGGCACUAUCAGGCGAUGAAGGACGUGGUAAGCUGCGAAAAGCUUCGGGGAACUGCACGCGAGUUUUGAUCCGGAGAUGUCCGAAUGGGGAAACCCGGCUGGAGUAAUGUUCAGUCAUCCUUAACUGAAUCCAUAGGUUAAGGAAGCGAUACGUGGGGAAGUGAAACAUCUCAGUACCCACAGGAGAAGAAAUCAAAAGAGAUUGCGUCAGUAGUGGCGAGCGAAAGCGCAAGAGGCUAAACCGGUCGGUUUACUGACCGGGGUUGCGGGACUUCGAUAUGGCAAGCUGAAUCGAUAGCAGAAGGAACUGGAAAGUUCCGGCAUAGAGGGUGAUACCCCCGUAAGCGAAAUCGGUUCGAAGCCUGGAAGUAUCCCAAGUAGGUCGGGACACGUGAAACCCUGACUGAAUCCGGGGAGACCACUCUCCAAGCCUAAAUACUCGAUAGUGACCGAUAGCGUAUAGUACCGCGAGGGAAAGGUGAAAAAGCACCCCGGAAGGGGAGUGAAAAGUAUCUGAAAUCAUGUGUCUACAAAGUGUCGGAGCGCAAGCGACGGCAUGCCUUUUGCAUAAUGAGCCUGCGACUUACUCUAACGAGCGAGGUUAAGCCUGGUGCGGAGCCGAAGCGAAAGCGAGUGUGAAUAGCGCGUCUAGUUCGUUGGAGUAGACCCGAAGCUGAGUGAUCUAUCCAUGGCCAGGUUGAAUCUGCGGUAACACGCAGUGGAGGACCGAACCAGUUCAUGUUGAAAAAUGUUUGGAUGAGCUGUGGAUAGGGGUGAAAGGCCAAUCAAACUCAGUGAUAGCUGGUUCUCUUCGAAAUAGCUUUAGGGCUAGCCUUGCGUAAAUAGUUUGUGGGGGUAGAGCUACUGAUUGUUCGCGGGCCCUUACCGGGGUACCAAGAACUAUUAAACUCCGAAUACCAUAAACCGUACCGCAGGAGUCAGACUAUGGGGGAUAAGCUUCAUGGUCGAGAGGGAGACAGCCCAGACCGCCGGCUAAGGUCCCCAAUCUGGACUUAGUGGUUUGAAGGAUGUGAUGUUGCAUAAACAGCCAGGAUGUUGGCUUAGAGGCAGCCAUCAUUUAAAGAGUGCGUAAUAGCUCACUGGUCGAGUGAUAUCGCGCCGAAGAUGAUCGGGACUGAAGUUCAGAACCGAAGCCGCGGAUCGUGAAUUUAUUCACGGUGGUAGAAGAGCGUUGUAUGCGGGUUGAAGCCGAAGAGGGAUCUGAGGUGGACUGCAUACAAGUGACCAUGCAGGCAUGAGUAGCGAAAAACCGGAUGAGAAUUCCGGUCACCGAAAACCCAAGGUUUCCCGGGGAAGGUUCGUCCGCCCGGGGUUAGUCGGAUCCUAAGGCGAGGCUGAAAAGCGUAGUCGAUGGACAACAGGUUAAUAUUCCUGUACUGCCUUGUCGGAGUGAUGGAGGGACGCAGAGAGUCAGGUGAGCCGGCUGCUGAAUAUGCCGGUCGAAGCCCGUGGGACGUGCUGUUGGCAAAUCCGCAGCACACUAGUCUGAGAGGCGUAAGGUAGCCGAACGCAAGUUUGGCGAAUUCACUGCGACUGCACUGACGAGAAAAGCUUCUAAACGAUGAUGACAGGGUAUCCGUACCGUAAACCGACACAGGUGGGUGAGGCGAGAAGCCUAAGGUGCGCGAGAGAAACCAACGUUAAGGAACUCGGCAAAUUAGCCCCGUAACUUCGGAAUAAGGGGUGCCGCCUCUGGUGAAGGGAUUUACUCCCCGAGCUUAGGGCGGUUGCAAUAAAGAGGCCGGUGCGACUGUUUAACAAAAACACAGCUCUAUGCCAACUCGUAAGAGGAUGUAUAUGGAGUGACACGUGACCAAUGCCAAAAGGUCAAUGGGAGAGGUUAGCGCAAGCGAAGCUUCGAUCUGAAGCCCUGGUGAAUGUCGGCCGUAACUAUAACGGUCCUAAGGUAGCGAAAUUCCUUGUCGGGUAAGUUCC